rnacentral:tRNA from 1 species
GGAGGCCUGGCUUAAGUGGCAAAGCACCUGCCUUGCAAGCACAAGGACCUGAGUUCAAAUCCCAGUUCUG